rfam:Vibrio proteolyticus NBRC 13287 DNA, contig: VPR01S22.
UUUGGCGUUCGGAUUGUUAUCGACGAUGGCGUUGCCGACGGCAUGCAGCAAGUGGGUUUUACCCAGACCGGUCCCGCCAUA